rnacentral:misc_RNA from 1 species
AAGUGCUCCACGUAUUCAGGAUAACAUAUAUUCUCCUCGGCUAGUUACGUCAAAAUACAGCAAUGAUGCACUUCGUCGCUUGAUUGGUCCUGUUGGUGCUUUGAAGAGGAAAAUUGAAGAUGAAACAGGUGCACGGAUCUCGGUUAGUGAUGGAACACUUACUAUAAUUGCCAAAAAUCAGUCGGUGAUGGAGAAAGUACAGGAGAAGGUUGAUUUUAUAAUUGGACGUGAAAUUGAGAUUGGAGGAGUAUAUAAAGGUAUUGUUGUAUCUGUUAAAGAAUAUGGCGCCUUUGUGGAGUUUAAUGGUGGACAACAGGGCCUCUUACAUAUUUCAGAAUUAUCACACGACCCGGUUUCCAGAGUUUCAGAUGUGGUAUCUG